rnacentral:rRNA from 3 species
UUAAAUGGCUGCAGUAAUUUGACUGUACAAAGGUAGCAUAAUCAUUAGUUUUUUAAUUAAAAGCUUGAAUGAAAGGUUGGACGAAGUAAAAUCUGUCUCUUUUAAAUAAAAUUAGAAUUUAAUUUUUAAGUUAAAAAGCUUAAAUUUUUAUAAAAGACGAGAAGACCCUAUAGAGUUUAAUAAUUUUUUUAGAAAUAAUUAAUUUAGUUUUAUUACUUUUAUUUUUUUAAAAUUAUUUUAUUGGGGUAAUAAUAAGAUUAAAAUAAUUCUUUUUUUUUUACCAUUAAUUUAUGAAAUAUAUGAUCCAUUAUUUUUAUGAUUAUAAG